rnacentral:rRNA from 1 species
AAUCAACGCUGGCGGCGUGCCUCAGACAUGCAAGUCGAACGCGAAAGUUUCCUUCGGGAAACAAGUAGAGUGGCGCACGGGUGAGUAACACGUAGGUAAUCUACCUUUGGAUGGGGAAUAACAAUCGGAAACGGUUGCUAAUACCGCAUAAUGCAGCGGCACCUAAUGGUGACAGUUGUUAAAGCGGGGGAUCGAAAGACCUCGCGUCUGAAGAGGAGCCUGCGGCGGAUUAGCAGUUGGUAAGGUAAUGGCUUACCAAGGCUACGAUCCGUAACCGGCCUGAGAGGGCGGUCGGUCACACUGACACUGACAUACGGGUCAGACUCCUACGGGA